AUUUUGGACAAUGGGGGAAACCCUGAUCCAGCCAUCCCGCGUGUAUGAUGAAGGCCUUUGGGUUGUAAAGUCCUGUUGGCAGAGAAGAAAAGGUAUCUCCUAAUACGAGAUACUGCUGACGGUAUCUGCUGAAGAAGCACCGCCUAACUACGUGCAAGCAGCCGCGUUAAGACGUAGGGUGCAAGCGUCAGACGGAAUUACUGGGCGUAAAGCGUGUGUAUGCGGUGCGGAAAGAAAGAUGGGAGAUCCCAGGGCUCAACCUUGGAACUGCAUUUUGAACUGCCGAGCUAGAGUAUGUCAGAGGGGUGUAGAAUUCCACGUGUAGCAGUGAAAUGCGUAGAUAUGUGGAGGAAUACCGAUGGCGAAGGCAGCCCCCUGGGAUAAUACUGACGCUCAGACACGAAAGCGUGGGGAGCAAACA
rnacentral:rRNA from 1 species